GUAGGUGUAGUUUAAUAAAACAUUAGAUUGUGAUUCUAAAAACAGGGGUUAAAACCCCCUCACCCACC
rnacentral:tRNA from 1 species